rnacentral:rRNA from 1 species
AGGACGAACGCUGGCGGCGUGCCUAACACAUGCAAGUCGAACGGAGUAAGGGUUUCGAUUCUUACUUAGUGGCGAACGGGUGAGUAACGCGUGAACAACCUGCCUUCCUGAGGGGGAUAACACCUGGAAACAAGUGCUAAUACCGCAUAAGACCACAUAUCCGCAUGGAUGAGGGGUCAAAGGAGCAAUCCGCAGGGAGAGGGGUUCGCGUCCCAUUAGCUAGUUGGCGGGGCAACGGCCCACCAAGGCGACGAUGGGUAGCCGAGCUGAGAGGCUGAUCGGCCACACUGGAACUGAGACACGGUCCAGACUCCUACGGGAGGCAGCAGUGGGGAAUAUUGGGCAAUGGGCGCAAGCCUGAACCCCAGCAACGCCGCGUGAGGGAAGAAGGUCUUCGGAUUGUAAACCUCUGUCCUAUGUGACGAAGGAAGUGACGGUAGCAUAGGAGGAAGCCCCGGCUAACUACGUGCCAGCCGCAGC